CUGUGCUUUUGCUGUUGCAGCUCCAAAGUUGUGGAAUGAUCUGCCCUUAGAGUUUUUCUGGGAUCCAUGUUGAAGGUGUGGCAGCUCUCUGUAGGAUUUACCGGAGACGCAGAUGAGGGAAACGCAGAGGUAUCCUCGUCAAGCUCCGAUAGCGCGCUUCUGAUGCCGUGCUUCCAGCUGUUUCGAGCGGACCGCAACGCUGAACUGUCUGAUAAAAAGAGAGGAGGCGGAAUCUGCUUUUACUAAAACGAAGAGAAAUGGCCUUUCUGAGAAGUUUGUGUUUGAAAAGAAGAGACAACUCAGGACACUCACUGCAAAAGGAGAACAGAAAUAUUUACAAGUCGGAGGCCAGGCAAAAUCCUUCCAAGGGUUGCAAAUGGACCCUGGGCUACACUUUGCACACCCUUGAUCUAAAGAACGACUCUACUUUUCCUGAAAGAGAAAAUUUGAUUCGAACCCCAGGGGAACCACCGCCGGGACUACCGCAACCCCCCCAGAGAAGAGCAGAGGAGAGUCCCAGGGGAACCACCCAGCAGCCACAGUGCAGAGGCCCAGGGAGCUGCAGCACACACAAAAACAGGUCCAGGUGCCGAUACCCCAUAGAGACAACCAGCCCCUGGAACCAGAAGGUGGUCCCCUUCCCUUCGGGGGUGGACACAGGCAGACCCCCGGAGGCAGACUGGCCCGGACCCUGACCACACGCCCUGACUCCAGUCCCCAACGACCCCAUCCUCAUCCGGAGAAGGGGCCAUGUACAAAAGAGGGGUCUACAUGGUCCAAACCAGCCUGCCAAUCAGAGCCGCCACAGAAUAAAAUAGUCCCAACCCCCCAAUGAAUUGCAAUCCCAAGCCCAUGAGCCUCCCACCCCUAAUGAACCCCGACCUGAAUUUCCCCCAGGGCCACCCACAACCAGCACACAGAUAUCGAACACAUGCCCCCAAACAUAAACACCAUAAAUAACCUCCCCACAGCACAUGGGCACACCCCACAGGUGAGUUUCAUCCCCAAAAAGCUGACGAAGUAACAACUACACUUCGCCCUUGCCUCUGCGCAAUGCCGCCCCAGCCACCACCCACAGGUGCAACAGAGCAGACACCGUCGAGCACCGAGCUCACAACAGAACCCCCAACCCCACACCAAGAUGGGACAAAGUCACCCGGCAAGAGGUCCCCAGCCAGUGGCAAGCACUCGUGGACGGCGUCCCCCACCACGCCUCCGCAACAACACAGACACACCACAUCACUGCCACUGCAACAAUAGCCCUGGUAGAAACAUUAUCCGGCUCAGCUCUACCAUCGGCGCUCAGCCGAUCCAGAUGCCGGUGACCCCACAUCGAAAAAGAAGAUACAACAAGGAGGGGGAAGCAGUGCUUCGCCAACACUGUUUAUAGUGGGGGCAGGAGACUGCUGACCUCGACUGA